UACAGAGGGGGCAAGCGUUGUUCGGAAUUACUGGGCGUAAAGGGCGCGUAGGCGGCCUUCUAAGUCGAACGUGAAAUCCCCGGGCUCAACCCGGGAACUGCGUCCGAUACUGGAAGGCUUGAAUCCGGGAGAGGGAUAGCGGAAUUCCGAGGGUGUAGCGGUGAAAUGCGUAGAUAUCUGGAGGAACACCGGUGGCGAAGGCGGC
rnacentral:rRNA from 1 species